GACAUUGUGAGAUUGAAGACAGAGUUGUGUGCUCUGCUUUGUACAUUGGAGCGGCCCAUGACUAAGUUGGUCAGAUUGUCCUGUGCAUAUACUUCUCAAGCAGAUACGACCCAAUCAAGGGCUCCUCUUUGUGUAUCUCUCCAAGUAUUGGUCUGAGUUUCCAAGUCCUAAGUUAGCAGCAAUGCAGACUAUGCAGCGCCAUUACGUGCAUGCUCAGUGCAUCCAAGUGGUUUUCUCCCGCGGGGAGCGAGCGUGCCAGCCGCUACAUGAGGCAUAGUUGCAAUCUUAGUUUCCAAUUUAUGACCAAACAGCAACCUAGCAUGGAUAUUCCGAGUGCAUGAUUUUAUGACUUGAUGGUUGAUUUAGUAGAGCAGGAGGUGUUCCAGUUAUUUGAAAGAUAUAGGUGGUUGUUUCUAUAUAUGAGGCUGCCCCGAGGAAAUCUGUGGUGGUCUGGCCAUGAAGCUGUUUAUUUCCUCGAUGACAUUCAACUUUGUCACCGGUAGUUCUUACUGCUACUCAUCAGUACUUCAAGUCGUCAACAGAAAAAAACUAUGAUGCACAUUGUGGGCAAUCAUGGAGAGCUAGAUGAUGUUUGAUAAUAGCUACUGGUCUGACAUGAGCAAUGCCGGUCUUCUGGGAUUGGAAAGGUGUUUCGUGAA